CUUUAAUUUCUUUUAAAUUAAAAAAAAUUAUAAGAAAAAUAAUGAUUGUAAUUAUUUAAAUAUAUCCCCAUAGCUCAUCAACUCAUUUAGGGGUAAAAUUGUAAUACAACCCUUAAAUGGGUGACAGCCAAAAGUAAUGUACCAAACCAACUAAUCACAUCACCAAGAGCAAAGAGAGACGAGAGUUACAGAGGACCUUCGAGAAUGAACCCCUCAUCAUUACAAUAUUUACACUCAUACCCCUCUUGCAUUUCCUAAACUACCCCUACUCAGGUAUUGCACUUAACAUUGCAGUAAACUUGGUCGUCCCGCCACCUCUCCUCAACCGCCUGCCACUACUACCGCCUGCACCUGUUGCGGCGGAGACUGUCAUUCUCCUACUAGAUUUCCCAUCACUCUCGCCAGAAAACACAAACGGCGACAACGACUUCCGGCGGCAACCACAUUUGUCAGUCCCAUUAUUAUUACUUUUCAUCAAAGCUGAGCUAGCUUUGACAGCCAAUGCAGCCAUUUCCUCCGGCUGCAAAGGGUGUUUUAACCUACUCAAAGGCAAAGCGAAAUAAAGCUGUCCCAAUUGGAGCUCUUCAUCAUCGUUAAUGGCGGAAACGACAUCGUCAUACUCCAUUUCAUCGGCGUUGCAGAUGAAAUAAGUGGGAUUCUUUUGGCGAACAUAAGAAACCUUAACAGGGUAGGAAAAUUCUUGCAACCUCCCAUCUUGUAGGAUCAGCUUUGCAGUAGCUACGUUGGUGGAUUCACUGGAAUUGCAAAUACCCAUUUAGGUAAAAUUGAGAUU
rnacentral:misc_RNA from 1 species